rnacentral:lncRNA from 1 species
GAUGUAACAAUAUGAUUUUGUCAUGUUUAAUUAAUGUUCUUAAUAGAGAUUUUACUGAUAGUGCUACUUAUGCAAGAUUGUUUAAGAGUUGUGGGCAGAUCUGAUGGUUGUUUUUCUGAAGGAAAUGGUCCCAAAAUUUAUAAAUUGAAAAGGAAGCUUGUCACCAUGCAACAAGGAUAGUCUUCUAUACUUGCUUCAAUUCUGUGAAGAAAUCUGGGACAGGCUAACUUUCUUCUCCAAGGUACUACCACGCACAUGUAGUUCUUUCAAGGAACUGUAGAGCGAAUGAAAUGUGGAGAAG